UACGGGGGGGGCAAGCGUUGUUCGGAAUUACUGGGCGUAAAGGGUUCGUAGGUGGCCAACUCAGUCAGACGUGAAAUCCCUCAGCUUAACUGGGGAACUGCGUCUGAUACUAGAUGGCUCGAGUGCAGGAGAGGAACGCGGAAUUCCAGGUGUAGCGGUGAAAUGCGUAGAUAUCUGGAGGAACACCGGUGGCGAAGGCGGCGUUCUGGACUGCAACUGACACUGAGGAACGAAAGCCAGGGGAGCAAACGGG
rnacentral:rRNA from 1 species